GAUGAACGUUGGCGGUGUGCCUAAUACAUGCAAGUCGAACGGAGCUAAUAGCAAUAUUGGCUCAGUGGCGAACGGGUGAGUAACGCGUUGGUGAUCUGCCUUGAAGUGUGGAAUAACGUUUCGAAAGGAACGCUAAUACCGCAUGUGCUCUCGAUUUUCAGAAAGUUGAGAGUAAAGGAUUUAUUCGCUUCAAGAGGAGCCUGCGUCCCAUCAGCUGGUUGGUAGGGUAACGGCCUACCAAGGCUAUGACGGGUAGGGGACCUGAGAGGGUGGCCCCCCACAAUGGAACUGAAACACGGUCCAUACACCUACGGGUGGCAGCAGUAGGGAAUAUUAGAAAUGGACGAAAGUCUGAUCUAGCAACACCGCGUGUGCGAAGAAGGCCUUCGGGUCGUAAAGCACUUUUUGGAAGGAAUAGGAAGGAAUGUACUUCCAGAAUAAGUCUCGGCUAACUACGUG
rnacentral:rRNA from 1 species